rnacentral:rRNA from 1 species
UACGGAGGGGGCUAGCGUUGUACGGAAUUACUGGGCGUAAAGCGCGCGUAGGCGGACCUGCAAGUCGGGGGUGAAAGCCCGAGGCUCAACCUCGGAACUGCCUUCGAUACUGCGGGUCUCGAGUCCGGGAGAGGUGAGUGGAAUUCCUAGUGUAGAGGUGAAAUUCGUAGAUAUUAGGAAGAACACCAGUGGCGAAGGCGGCUCACUGGCCCGGUACUGACGCUGAGGCGCGAAAGCGUGGGGAGCAAACAGG